GGAGGGACGGUCGAGUUGGGUAGCGCUCGGCCUGGUAUUCCUUUCAAUUGCAAUUGCAAUCGAGAGGUCGUGGGUUCGAAUCCCACUCCCUCCA